UCUUCCAUAAAAGCUGCACUGUCGCCUCGGGUUCUGGGAGUUUCUUUACCCUCCUCGCAUCCCUUAACCCCACCACUCUCUCCCCUUCUGUCUCUCUCCCUUUUUCCUGCAUUGCAUGCCUCGUAGUUCGUACAGUGGGAACUGGGGCGACAGCCUCUCUUGGAGAUGAGAGCGAGGUUUGUUUAUGCACUGAAUGGUGUGCCUAUGUGAGCCUUUGGCCACUGGCCAGCAGCUGAGAGAGGCCCUUUUAGUGCGACAGCAGUGGCUUUGUGGAGUCAUUAUUUAUGAAAUUUCUCUGGCCGUUUCCUGAAUGAAGUUUAUGCGUUCUCCCUCUGACCGCGUGGGUCUCCUCUGGGUGCGCUGGUUUCCUCCCGUGUUGCAAAGAUGUGCAGGUAUCGGGGGAAUGUCCGGCACACUACCUGAGCCUCGUCCACACGUAUCAUUGCUGAGAUUGACUUUAGUUGCAGUGCCAACCGCAGGCCAGCCGCUGAGGUCUGUUAUUACGUGGUGGAGUGUGCAGGCUGUUUUGUUUUUGUUUGCCUGUCCACCUCAGGCCUUUUCCUGGACUUUAAAACCACACCGUCCUCUAACUGAGGGGCUCAAUAUCAUUAAGACUAUAUCAUCAUAAGACAUAGGAACAGAUUAGGGUCAUUUGGUCCAAUCGGUCUAUGCCAUUCGAACGUGGCAGAUUUAUUUUUCCACUCAACCCAAUUUUCCUGCCUUCUCCCUGUAACCUUUGACACCCUUACUAUUACCCUCCACUUUAACUAUACCCAGUGAUGGCCUCCACAGCCCUCUGUGGCAAUGAAUUCCAUGGAUUCACCAACCUCUGGCUAAGAGAAAUUCCUCCUCAUCCCAAUUCCAAAGAUGCAUCCUUCUAUUUAGAGGCUGUGCCCUCUGGUCAUGGACUCACCCACUAUUGGAAACAUCCUUUCCACACCCACUCCAUCUAGACAUUUCAAUAUUCAGAAGGUUUCAAUGAGAUUCUCUCCCAUUUUCUCAGCUCCACUGAGUACAGGCCCAGAGGGGGUGAAUGGUAUAUUUCCCAAGAUUAAGGAGGCCAUUCAGCCCAUCAGAUCAGUGUCAAUGGUCAGAAUUCCAUUUCCUUAUAACCUAUUCUCUCUCACGUAGUCCUGAUAAAGGGACUUGGCCCAAAACAUCUGCUGUUUAUUCCUCUCCAUAGAUGCUGCCUAACCUGCUGAGCUCCUCCAGAACUUUGUGUGUGUUGCUCUGGAUUUCCAGUAUCUGUAGAAUCUCUUGUGUUUAUGUUUCUCUCAUAUACCUUACCCUAAUUCCACCCACACAUGAGGGGCAAGUUACAGUGGCCAACUGAAUCAUCCUUCACAAUUUUGUGAUGUGGAAGGAGACAGGAGGAAUACCACUUAAUCAAGAAGAGUGCGUGCAGACUCCCCACAGACAGCAGCAGAGGUCAGGACUAAACCCAGCUCUCCCAAGCCGGGGCAGUCCGAGGAUGAGCCGGGAAGCAGCCUCUGACAUCAAUGUAGCAUGCCCACAGUACAGUAACCCUCACCCGUGGGUCUUUGGACUCCUUAAAGAAACCGGAGCAUCCUCAGGAAUUCAUGUGGUCGUGGGCUGACUGUACAAACUCCUUGCAGACAGUGGCAGGAACGGACCCCCUGAUUGCCGGUGCUGUAAAACACUAUGUUAGCUGCUACACUACAGCUUGCUGAGCUCUCCCAGCCUCCUGUGUGCGUUGCUUCAGAUGGGUGUGUAUCCCUUUAAGAACUGCUGCUGUGUGUGUGUUGUUGACAUACAGCUUAAAGCCUGCCCCAACAUCUGACUAUCUCUGCAGAAGAGGUUGCCACGGGGGACGGUGCUUUUCCAAAGUGCUUUUAUCAAUAAAGAUCUUCUGUUUGUCAGUUUGUACGCCUGGUUAUCAUUUAGAAUCUUAGCAGGGUUUAACUGGGACGUGGUGAGACCCCAAUGAGGGGCAGCUUCCCGCAGCAGUUGGCGAUGUUACAGUUGGCUGUCACUUGCCCCUCACGUAGAUUCCAGGGUGCUGAG